UGGGGAAUUUUGCACAAUGGGGGAAACCCUGAUGCAGCGACGCCGCGUGAUUUAGAAGGCCUUCGGGUUGUAAAAAUCUUUUCUAUGGGAAGAAAAUGACAGUACCAUAGGAAUAAGGACCGGCUAAUUACGUGCCAGCAGCCGCGGUAAUACGUAAGGUCCGAGCGUUGUCCGGAAUCAUUGGGCGUAAAGGGUACGUAGGCGGGUAAGCAAGUUAGAAGUGAAAUCCUAUAGCUCAACUAUAGGAAGCUUUUAAAACUGCUCAUCUUGAGGUAUGGAAGGGAAAGUGGAAUUCCUAGUGUAGCGGUGAAAUGCGCAGAUAUUAGGAGGAAUACCGGUGGCGAAGGCGACUUUCUGGCCAUACCCUGACGCUGAGGUACGAAAGCGUGGGUAGCAAACAGG
rnacentral:rRNA from 1 species